UCAGUAGUUUAUAGAGUUGGUCUAUUUUGCCCCAAUUUUUUUAAGGCUCCAGAUUUAAUCUAGAGCAACACUGUAACUGAAAUAAGAGUUUUAACCGGUUAUAUUUUCUCUAUAUUGAAUUUACUAGCCAAAUUUCGCCCUGAAAGUUCAAAUCUCAUCGCUCUUGCGUAGGUGUCACAUCGUCAAUGUCGCGUUAGAACGAAAUUCCCGGCUUAUUUAGCGUAAUUUUAGGGUAAUUUAGAUCUUUUUUCAGUUUUUCAGUAAAAAAGUUCCGGUCGUCGACCUUCCGUCUUCUAACCUCAAAAUUUGACGCACUUUAGCAGAAGUCUUCGUCAAAAUGCGACGCAUUCAGGGCAAUUUCGGCUCCAGGGAUCCCGAGGAGGAUCGCAAGAAGAGCAGGGAGUCCGUUUUAGCGAAUCUAGUGUUGUUUUGUUCCAUCGUGGUCAUAAUACGGGUGGCCCCAGUAGUCGUAAAUAGUUUCUCGGCGUGAUAAGUGCGUUUGUUGCAGCCCCCAUUAUCGUAAGCAGCAUAUAAACCAUGCCUGAGUACCUCACUUCCUUGUCUCUAUGUUGGUGAAAAAUCAGGACUGAAUGUUGUGAUGUGAUAAAGUUUUAUACAUUUUUCAUUAUUUGUAUGGCCUGUAUAGUUGUAAACUAUUGGAAUGAAAUAAAUUCGUGGAGUCAA